AAUUGUCUCCCGUGUCGUGGUUCUCCGUACGGCGCUGCCGCAGCGGAGCUAAGAGGGAAGCCGGUGCGAUGCCGGCGCUGCCCCCGCAACUGUUAGCGGCGAGCCAACUCCACUCAUGUCACUGAGGCGAAAUAGCCUUGGGAAGACGGGUAGAGGCUAUGACCCGCGAGCCAGGAGACCUGCCACGGCGAAUUACGUCCA
rnacentral:ncRNA from 2 species